rnacentral:misc_RNA from 1 species
UAAUGAUUGAAUUAGUAAUUAAUAAAUAAUGUUUUAAGUUUAAAGUUUAUUUCUAUAAAUAUAUAAUAUAUAUAUAAGGAAUUCGGAAAAUUUAAUAUAUCCACCUGUUUAACAAAAACAUGGCUUAUUGAUAAUAAUUUUAAGUCAACUCUGCCCAAUGAUUUUAAAAAUUUAAUGGCUGCAGUAUAAUUGACUGUACAAAGGUAGCAUAAUCAAUUGUUUUUUAAUUAAAUA